UUACUUCCUGGGUGACUUCAGGAGAGAGAAAUGCAAAUGUUACUCCCACCCCUGGCCCCGAGAUGGAGGCUCCUGCCCUCCAGGAAAGACCGUGAGUUUCUAGAGGCUGACAACUCCAGUGUGAUGGUCACUGUGGCAUUUUGAGAAUGAGCAGGAAGGGAAGAAGGGGUGGAAACAGUCUAGCCCUGCAGAGGGAUUCAGGAGGAAGAUGAAGAAAAUGCCAUGGGACCCAGCAAGGCUCCUUCCAACCUCCCAGGGGUGAUACCGACUAGAGAGGGCUAUGGAUUCAUCCUGGCACUCUUUGUAACAGCAAACAGCUGCAAACGACCCGAAUGCCCAGCCAUGCAGGAAUUAGCUGUAUAAACUCUGGCCAUUCUCAGCACUGAAUACUACGCGGCUGUGCAAAAAGACUGAGGCGACACAGGGCUGACAAUAUGGGAAGACCUCCAGGCUUGGCAAAGAAAGAGCAAGGUGUGCACCUGCCCGGGGAAGGAAGCUUUGCUUCGUGUCGGAAGAGCCGAUGAGGAUGCGGAGACCCUCCGCAGGGAAACACCAACAUAAUUGUAUCACCUGUUCUUGUGGUAACCACUGGGGAGCCAUGGUAGGCAGAAGAAGGAGAUAGUUGCCCUUUACCUUUUCAUGCCUGUUGAACUCUGUGUUUGUUAAUACCAUCGAAAGGUAAGUGUUUAAUCAAAAAAGGGAACAUAUGUAAGCACAUGGGAUGGGAGAGGAAAUAGGAAUAGGAGAGCUGCUGUUCAGAAGUUGACCGUGAACCAAAGCAAUCAGAUUGAUCAUGAGAAGAGCAAACACAUCGAGUACUCACCAGUGCAUUAGGGCUUUGCAUGCAGAGCAACCUUUUAAUCCCUGUACCCACCCCAGAGGUGUGCACUGUGCCCUCCCCCUUCAGGAAAGGGAGGGCGGGGGUGGGGGACAGGCUCAGGAACAAAGAGCCUCCAGCUUGGCUUGCUUCCCUUAAUCACAGUGCCAUAGGAUCCUCCUCCAAUUAGGCUGAGAAAAGGGAUAUGGGGUCUGUCCGCUGGCUGGGCAUGGGAGGCAAUAAUUGUAUGGAGCCCAUGGCAACCCCUUCCUGUUUAUUUUUCUCACAUUCUGUUGUGAUGCCUAUUACUCUUAUUUUUCUUGUUUUUGUCCAUUUUCUCCCAAAAGCAUGUCAGCUCUCGCAGGACCGGAGUUUUCUGUUGUCCUGAUUACUGCUGGGUCCCCAGUGCCUGGCACGUGGAAGUAGUCGAAAGAAUGAAUGAAUGAAUGAUUAGAAUGAAUGAAUGAUCAAAUUAGGAGGAAGAGCCUUAGGUGAUUUGGGAGCAGGAAUAGUUAGAGGCAGGAGAGGAGGGGCUGGGGGGGGGGGGGAGAAGCUUUGGCAUCUGGAGUCCAGGCGUGAGUGCCUUGGGGGCAUUUGCAGGAGGAAGGGACAGGAGCAGAAUCUUGGGCCAGCACGUGGAGCCCUGGAAAGAUGGACGGCCUGGUAGCCCAGAUGGGGAAGGUGGGGCAGCUCAGGUGGUGCUGGCCAGGGUGGUGAUCCAACAUGGGUUGAGGCCCAGUGUGGCCCAGGAGCCUGGAUAAGAAAGGGCACCUUCAAGGUCCAAUGGAAUAAGAAAGACUGGGAAGACGGGGGAGCCCAGGGGCGCCCUUGCCAACCAGGAAUUCAGCUGGGCCUGAUUGAAAGGCAGUGAGUGACAGAGGCAAAGGGACACUAGCCCGGAACAGCUGACUGGGCUGGGCUCCCAGCUUGGCCCAAGGCUAGGUGAGGGGCCAGACCAGAGCAGAGCAUCUGGGAGGGAGGGGGAAUAGGGAGGGUCAGGGGAGUGGCGGGCAUGGGGUGGGGGUGGGCAGGGCCACACUCAUCCAGCAGAGCCAAGAAGGGAAAAAAUGCUUCUUAACAAACUUUAGACCACACACACCCCGUCCUCCCCAGGGUUCCUCCUUCUGUUCCAGCUGCGGGAGUCACCCUGACCCAGGCCUUGAAGAUAGAAGCGCCUGGCUCCAAGGCUGGGGCUGAGCCUGGAGCCCUUCCUUCCCUCCUUCUCCCUACACCUCCGCGCUCCCUUCUCCUCAACUGCCAUCCCUGCUCGCCUCCUCCGGCCCCCUCUCCGGCCCUCCCACCCCUUGAUUUGUGCGGCCCGCCUGCUGUCGUGUUCCAGUACCUUUUUCUAUUCUCCCACUCCCUGCCUGCAGCCUGGGGAACCUGAGGCCCUGCGCUGGCCGUUCAAGCAGGCUGGAGUGGCACAGCUCCAGGGCUAGGGCCCCUGCCUCCCCAAUCCGAACAUUAUACGCCAUUUAAAUCUCAUAACCCCAAGAGCUGGAGACGAUUAUUAGCCUCAUCCCCCAAGGAUGGGGAAACUGAGGCCCGAAGAGACAAUACGCCCGGGAACCAUCUGUGUGGGGUUUUGAACUUACUCCUGCCGCACACACCAGCGUCCAGGCUCUUGGCCUCAGCGGCACAGCCAAGGCAAGAGCUCUGCUGCCACCUGGUGGACACUCGCGGCUCCGUCAGGAUGGAGUCGCCUGUUGCCUUUUGUCCUGAGCAGGAUAGAAACCUAAAUGUCCACCAAGAAGACACCACCUAUCUCAUCUCCUGCCCAUGUUUGGCUUGCGACUACUUUAAGUACGAAAAGACCCUAGAUGUUAAUUCUAACACUCAGGAAAAAUGAAAGACAACAGACAAAGAUAUAUCUAUAAUUAUAAAAGGCAGCACAAAUGCAUAUUUUGGUCUCUUAACUGAUUUUAUUUUAUUUUUAUUUAUUUUUUUUU